UUUCCUUGUUCACGUCAAAAUUAGAAAGUAAAAGAAUUCCAUCCACAUUCAGAUAUAAAAACCCAAAUAUUCUCUUUCAACCAACCAUUAAAGACUACUGAAAUAUUGAAAAUAACACUGAAAGUCAUCCAAACACAUUCAACUAUGUAUUCAUUAUGAUUUAAGUAGCCUUGGUAGCUUUAUGCACCAACAUAAACCAAACAAAUACACAGUUGUUAUUUAUUACUAAUACUUGAUCAACUAGAAAAUUGUAACUCCUUUUAAGCAGAAGCCUUAGCAAGAGCUCCAGCUUCAGUGAGCAGAGGAAUUAGCUUUCCUUCCUUAUGCAUGCCUGUUGUUGCUGCAAAAGACAGUAACAUAAACCCAUCAAUAUGCAAGUAACAAUGUAACAAUGGAGCCUGAUAACAAAGAAAAUUUUUUGAGACAACAGAGCAAAUUAAAGCCAUACUGUCACAGCCACCAAUGUGCUUGCCACUGAUGAAAACAUUCGGCACAGAUCGUUGUCCAGUCCACUCUGCCAAUGCUGAUUGUACCUGACUUCCAUCGCCUUCACAACAUGAAAAUCAAAUAAUAAGUAAUUGAUCAAAUGCAUUAAGGUCAAUGACUUAUAAUGCUGACCCAAUCACCAAAGAAUGGCUCUCCCUGUCUCACAUAAUGCAUUGAUCGUAUAUUUAACGGCUAAAUACAGAUAAGAGACAUAAAACCUCAGUAUAGAUUGCUUUUUCAAAUAUUACUAGUGCAAUUAAUUGCCCCAACUCCAUCACUGAUUCUGCUUAUUAUUUUCCUUAAUUUACCCUAUGUUUGAAUGGAGUACAUGAAGAUUUUUUUAAAUUACAGUAAGGUAAUGGAUGACAAGGGAAGAUAAAGGUAUCAAAACCUUCUGAAUCCACUAAUCUGAUGCGUUGUAGAAGCAGAGUUUUGAAGGUUUUAACUCCUUUGAAAAGAACCUUCCCCCCAAACAAACCCAUAACUUAACUCCAAAAACUUCAUUAAAAAAAAAAAAAACACUUGACAGUCAAAAAAAAAAAAAAUUUGGCUUAUUCUGAAGAAUUCUUUGAUUUUAAAAGGAAAUGAUAGAUAUUACUACUGCAGGAUUGGUAAAUAGCAACUCUAUAAAGCAGAAUUCAGGCAUAGAAAGCCAUUGUCAAUCAAAGGAAUACAGCUUAGAAUAUACGACCCAUAAAUUCUCCCAAAGCAUUGUAAAACAUAACAGAAAAAUAGUAUUAAGCUCCAAUUCGAUACAAUUAUCAAACAAAUAGAUAAAAGAAUAAAACUUAUUAUCUUUUCUCAGGAACCAAACAGAUAUGAGACAAGAGCAUAGCAAAACUAUAGAAAUUACCCUCAGUAUCCAACUCCACGGUCUUAUAAUUGGCUCCCAAUUCAUCCAAAAGCUUCUUCACGCUCGUGCAAUAGGGGCAGUACGUCUUGCUGAAAACGACAACAGAAUUGGAAGAAACGAGCUCCUUGGCCUUGGUCAUCGCCAUCUCUGCCUCUCAAUCGUUCUCUCAGUCUCUCAGUGCUCUCAAUUAUCGUAUAAUGUUUGUUUCCUUCCUGAUUCCCCGCC
rnacentral:misc_RNA from 1 species